UUGCUCACUUUGGCAGCAAGUGUACUAAAAUUGGAACGAUACAGAAAUCAGCAUGGCCCCUGUGCGAGGAUGGCAUGCAAAAGGUAAAGGAGGGCCAGUACUGU
ensembl:snRNA U6 U6 spliceosomal RNA